AGCAAGGCGGAGCUGUGCCCUGUCACGGCACGCAGAGAAUGCCCAUGGAUUUUCACAAAUGCUGUUAAAAUGUGAAAAGCAGGUGUUUCUUUUUUCUUCAAUCUGAGCUUCAAGCUAAUAUGGGCAUUCAGCUAAAUCCCUCCUGGGUCCUGAAACAGUAUGUGGUUUUGGAUUUCAAAGAUAAUCCCUACAACUUCUGGGAGAGGUGCAAGUAUCAACCAGUUGGAGACACAGGGAAAGGGUGAUAUAAUGCAGAAAGUGACUUGAACAAAUUUACACAGAAGGCAGUGAAGUGUGAUUCAAAUUCAAGCAGUCUAGACUGUGCCCCACACAACUCUGCAGCAUAACCUUGCAGUAUGAAAAUAAUGCCUCUCAUGCAGAAUCUUGAAAAAAAACACACACCAAAAAAACCAUAUAAGAAAAAAAAAAUGGAACCAAACAUACAAGAAAAACCAACAGGAUGUGAGAGGAAUCCAGCGCAGAAUACAAAUAGGAAUACAUGAAGCUAACUGUCGGACAAAUGAAUAAUGUCGCCUCAUUGAAGGGGGUGAGGAAGAAAAUAACUCACUGAAGUAACUUUAGGAAACAGAACUGUGACGGGCUAUCAUAAGGCUAAAGGCAAAAAGAAAUGUUGAAACAUG
rnacentral:lncRNA from 1 species